GCAGGGGUGGGCAGCCCGGUAGCUCGUCGAGGCUCAUAACCUGAGAAGGUCGUAGGUUCAAAUCCUACCCCCGCA
rnacentral:tRNA from 1 species